UGUUAAAAAAAUUAUUAAUUUCUAUUGUUAAAAAUUAAUAUGGCUAACGAAAUAACCAGAUAGUUACACGUGGUGUGUCCUGUGUAAAUCAUUCUAACAUAUAAAGACUAUUUUUUAAAGUAAAAAUAGAUGGAAGUUUUAAUA
rnacentral:pre_miRNA from 1 species